GAUGACCUCCUUUGGAGUGUUUGCUGAGCCCUGAUUCUCAAAAAGGGGUGGAUUAGCCUAAGUCUGAGAACAUUAAUCUUCAUAUCCUUUCUGGAAGCAAAGUUCAUUCAGGCAUGAUUUAGGGUUAUAGAUAGAAGAGCAAUGGAAGAAAAAAGAAAAAAAGUAGAGGCAAAGAGAAUGAGGAACAGAGAAUGUGGAAAAAUUCCAGGACUGAGGAAGAGGCCAACAGAAGAAAAGAAGUAGAGACAGAAAAGGAAACUGGCCUUAGCAAUUACUGAACAGAUGGCAGCAGAGGGGCAAUCUGACAAAAUGGCGUCUGACAUGGAAGUACAUAUGAAGCAAAUGUGUGGAACUGAAUUCCUCCGUGAAGCAAAAAUGGUGCCCAUUGUUAUUCAUCAAUGCUUGCUGAAUAUUUUUGAAGGCCAAACAGAGAAUAUGAGCACAGUGAGAGAUUUAUGCAUUCUGAGACAAUGCUACAAAUAGCUACUGUGAGAUUCUGCAGUGUAUACAUUGGAUGAUACAUUUUACCCUGGUAAAUCAUUGGUUCUUACAAUAGGCAGCAAUUUUCUGCAGUGGAGAUUAAGGAUUAAGCCAUGUCAUUGCUCUUCUGAAAAUCAGACUGGGUUAUCAGUGCCAUUUGCUGAAUCAAACCAACUAGCCAAGUAUUAGCAAAUUAUCCUUGGAAGUUAUUUAUGCUAUCACUUUGUCAAGCCUGACAGAUAAGUAAUUUAUUUAGCAAUGGGUAUGAUGGCAAAUUCUAUUUAAUUUCUUUCCUGUGCUAUGUAAACCUAUUACAACUUAAAUUCUCUGAUGAUGUUCUCUAAAAUGUGCAAAAGUAGCACAGACUCUUGGUUUAAUUCCACUGGUCUAAGGACAAAAAGAACCUGUUUCUUUUCCCUGUAGCAUAUUUCCCCCUUUAUUCGUGCAUGGCUUUUUCUUUUACUGCAACCUUCAGGAUAUUGAAUGUAUUGCCACCAUCUUGGCAUUUCUUCUUUCAAAUGGUGUAGGUUGUUUUUUAUUUCUGGUUAUUUCAUGUGAAUCAUUUUGUAAGGUUACUGAAUGUAUAUUUUUAUCUCCCACAUUUAUAGUCUGGUGAAUUUUGCACACCUUUGAAGCCUACCCAGAAAGCUGAUUAAAUUACUUUGACUUCUUUGGUAUGUGAUAUUUCAAUAAUGGUAUUGAUUGGUAUGUGGUAUGUCAUUUUGCUGCUGUAAUUGUCUUAAAAUGUAUUUGAGUGAAAUGCAAAAUAGAAGAAAGUCCGUGUUCCUUGCUGUAACAUUGUUUACCUACAAAAUAACACAGGCCGCAUUGCUAGAUGUAUAUUGUUUAUUUAAUAAACAUCUGCCUUAAGUUAUUUUAAAGCCAUCUCUAGGGCUUCUAUUAUGAGUUUGCUGAACUUAAUCUCAUUCUUUUGAAACUUAUGGCAAUUGUACUAGAUGAUCUUUGAAAGUCUCUUCCAGCUAGACUAUUAUCCUGUUGUGUUGUAUCAUAUUGCAUCACAUCCUAUUCUAUUCUAACUUUGUCUCUCUGGUGGCCAUAUUGAAAUAAUUCUUUCCAAACAAGUUUGGUUUUUUGCAUUGUGAAAUUUGCUGUUGGCAUUUUCCAGCAGGAUUUGGUGACCUGUAUAUCAUGCAAUAAUGUAUCUUUGUAUAUGGUGGAUACACUAGAUUUUCAUCCUUUCUCCCAUGCUUGUUGUUUUGAGAGGACUUUAGAGGAUCAGGGAAAGAGGCUGAAGUUUCUUCCACUGUUGCAUCAGCAAGUUGGAUUAGAACAAUAAACCUGCUUUAUAUGUAGAGUGCUUUCUAGAAUAGAUUCAGUAAAACUGAUGCAACAAUGUGCUGUGAUUAAAAGACCAAAGGGAAAUAACUAAGCUGUUUUGCAUCAGUUGCAUUGUAUUUUAGCUCUCUAGAGAGUUUUAGAGCCUUUUCUCCUCUUCCUUCCUCCCCCCUCUCCUGCCAACCCUCAAGAUAUGUCUGUAAAUGAAUGUUUAGAUUGUUGAAUUCAUUAUGAUA